rnacentral:rRNA from 1 species
GACGAACGCUGGCGGCGUGCUUAACACAUGCAGGUCGAGCGGUAAGGCCCUUUUGGGGGUACACGAGCGGCGAACGGGUGAGUAACACGUGGGUGACCUGCCCUCAGCUCUGGGAUAAGCCUGGGAAACUGGGUCUAAUACUGGAUAUGACCUUCCCUCGCAUGGGGUUGGGUGGAAAGUUUUUCGGCUGGGGAUGGGCCCGCGGCCUAUCAGCUUGUUGGUGGGGUGAUGGCCUACCAAGGCGACGACGGGUAGCCGGCCUGAGAGGGCGACCGGCCACACUGGGACUGAGACACGGCCCAGACUCCUACGGGAGGCAGCAGUGGGGAAUAUUGCGCAAUGGGCGGAAGCCUGACGCAGCGACGCCGCGUGGGGGUGACGC